rnacentral:piRNA from 1 species
UGAAGGUCCUCUCUCUCGUUCUCGGC